UACGUAGGUGGCGAGCGUUGUCCGGAUUUACUGGGCGUAAAGGGCGCGUAGGCGGGCUGACAAGUCUGGGGUGAAAUCCCGCGGCUCAACCGUGGAACUGCCUUAGAUACUGUCGGCCUCGAGGAAGGUAGGGGCAUGCGGAACUGUAGGUGGAGCGGUGAAAUGCGUUGAUAUCUACAGGAACUCCGGUGGCGAAAGCGGCGUGCUGGACCUUUUCUGACGCUGAGGCGCGAAAGCUAGGGGAGCAAACGGG
rnacentral:rRNA from 1 species